rnacentral:rRNA from 1 species
UACGGGGGGGGCAAGCGUUGUUCGGAAUUACUGGGCGUAAAGGGCUCGUAGGCGGCCAACUAAGUCAGACGUGAAAUCCCUCGGCUUAACCGGGGAACUGCGUCUGAUACUGGAUGGCUUGAGUUUGGGAGAGGGAUGCGGAAUUCCAGGUGUAGCGGUGAAAUGCGUAGAUAUCUGGAGGAACACCGGGGGCGAAGGCGGCAUCCUGGACCAACACUGACGCUGAGUGAGCGAAAGCCAGGGGAGCAAACGGG